AACGAACGCUGGCGGCAUGCCUAACACAUGCAAGUCGAACGAGACCUUCGGGCCUAGUGGCGCACGGGUGCGUAACGCGUGGGAAUCUGCCCUUAGGUUCGGAAUAACUUCGGGAAACUGAAGCUAAUACCGGAUGAUGACGUAAGUCCAAAGAUUUAUCGCCUAAGGAUGAGCCCGCGUUGGAUUAGCUAGUUGGUGAGGUAAAGGCUCACCAAGGCGACGAUCCAUAGCUGGUCUGAGAGGAUGAUCAGCCACACUGGGACUGAGACACGGCCCAGACUCCUACGGGAGGCAGCAGUGGGGAAUAUUGGACAAUGGGCGAAAGCCUGAUCCAGCAAUGCCGCGUGAGUGAUGAAGGCCUUAGGGUUGUAAAGCUCUUUACCCGGGAUGAUAAUGACAGUACCGGGAGAAUAAGCUCCGGGCUAACUCCGUGCCAGCAGCGCGGUAAUUGACUACUG
rnacentral:rRNA from 1 species